AAUGAACGCUGGCGGCGUGGAUUAGGCAUGCAAGUCGAACGCGAAAGUUCCCUUCGGGGAGCGAGUAGAGUGGCGAAAGGGUGAGUAAUGCUUGGAUGACCUGCCCUCGAGACGGGGACAACAGUUCGAAAGGACUGCUAAUACCCGAUAGUCCGGUUUAGAUGCGUCUAGAUCGGUAAAUGGUGCUUCCGCUCGAGGAGGGGUUCAAGUCCUAUCAGCUUGUUGGUGAGGUAACGGCUCACCAAGGCGAUGACGGGUAGCCGGACUGAGAGGUUGGCCGGCCACAUGGGAACUGAGACACUGUCCUGACUCCUACGGGAGGCUGCAGUCGAGAAUCUUCUGCAAUGGGCGAAAGCCUGACAGAGCGACGCCGCGUGGAGGAUGAAGGCCCUCGGGUCGUAAACUCCCGUCACAUGUUAUGAAACGCACAGGUCUACCUGUGCGCUGACAAAAGCAUGAGAGGAAGUCACGGCUAACUUCGUGCCAG
rnacentral:rRNA from 1 species